AGGGUUCGAUUAUGGCUCAGGAUGAACGCUAGCUACAGGCUUAACACAUGCAAGUCGAGGGGCAGCAUGACCUAGCAAUAGGUUGAUGGCGACCGGCGCACGGGUGAGUAACACGUAUCCAACCUACCGGUUAUUCCGGGAUAGCCUUUCGAAAGAAAGAUUAAUACCGGAUAGUAUAACGAGAAGGCAUCUUCUUGUUAUUAAAGAAUUUCGAUAACCGAUGGGGAUGCGUUCCAUUAGUUUGUUGGCGGGGUAACGGCCCACCAAGACAUCGAUGGAUAGGGGUUCUGAGAGGAAGGUCCCCCACAUUGGAACUGAGACACGGUCCAA
rnacentral:rRNA from 1 species